GAUGAACGCUGGCGGCGUGCCUAAUACAUGCAAGUCGAGCGAACAGACGAGGAGCUUGCUCCUCUGACGUUAGCGGCGGACGGGUGAGUAACACGUGGAUAACCUACCUAUAAGACUGGGAUAACUUCGGGAAACCGGAGCUAAUACCGGAUAAUAUAUUGAACCGCAUGGUUCAAUAGUGAAAGACGGUUUUGCUGUCACUUAUAGAUGGAUCCGCGCCGCAUUAGCUAGUUGGUAAGGUAACGGCUUACCAAGGCAACGAUGCUUAGCCGACCUGAGAGGGUGAUCGGCCACACUGGAACUGAGACACGGUCCAGACUCCUACGGGAGGCAGCAGUAGGGAAUCUUCCGCAAUGGGCGAAAGCCUGACGGAGCAACGUCGCGUGAGUGAUGAAGGUCUUCGGAUCGUAAAACUCUGUUAUUAGGGAAGAACAAAUGUGUAAGUAACUAUGCACGUCUUGACGGUACCUAAUCAGAAAGCCACGGCUAACUACGUG
rnacentral:rRNA from 1 species